rnacentral:lncRNA from 1 species
UCUAAUAUGAAAGAACAGAAACAUGGAUAACCUCUACAAAAUAAUAUUCAUAAGUCAUCUCCAGGGGUGGUCGUUUGACAAUGCAACUGGAUGGAAAUGGUGGGUACGAGGGUGUGCGAUAGGAUGAAGAAAGAAAGCAACUUUGUUUGGUGUUCAAUGAAUGUCGAAGAAGUUAUGGUUAUUUGGACGUGAGGGAGGCAGCAGGCAGUGGUCCACGGAAGGCUGUUGUAAUUUUUCCGGCGAGAAUGGUUGUUCGUUGACUGCGUGUGACAGGGGGAUAGAGGUCGACAGUGGUUAUGGAAGCUGGGUGGUCAUCUGUUACGUUGAGGAGCUGGAGAUGGGGUGAGGCUGGAGGUUAACGACGGAGAUGAGGCUUGUUAUGGUCGUUUGGCUGGUCGGCGCCGAUUCAAACUUGUGAGGUCGACGUCGACGAACUAUGUGGGACCCACAUACAAAAUUCAAUUUAAUUUUGAAAACAAGAUAGAACAAAUCUGAUACAACUCUCACGCGCCCAAAUGAAAUAAAAUACACAUAAUUUGCCAUGUGAGUACUGGGUAUUUAGCUUAUACACUUAAUAGUUACUUGAAGUAUCUGGUAAGAAAAGGUCUCACUUAAGGUGUCCAAUUGACCGUUGUGGACAACUACAGGGGGCUAUUUAUAUAUUUUGCCUAUUUAUUAUAUUAGGUUUAUUUCUUUCUUUAGUCGUUUAAUUUAUGGAAUAAUUAUUUUAUAUUUACUAUUACUUGUUUUAUUUUUUAUUUUGUAUUUUAUUAUGAUUAUAUUACAUAUGUGACAUUUAAGGGAAAGAAAAAGGUAAAAUCAAAGAAGAAAAAUGAUCUUUUUCAACUACCUUAACUAUGCCAAAUAUGAGUCAUUCUCUUUCCCGCCAUCCUCUUCCUCAUUCUCCCUAGUCGACUUGAUUUCCAUCUACCGUUCAUUAUUGCCUCUCUAUCUAAUAAUUUGGUUCAAUAUUAUAUUAUGUCUGCCAAAGAAAGUCAAAGUAACACUGUUUUUCACUUUAUUCCUACGCCUUCUAUAUCAUCUUAUUCACUGAGCUUUCAUGGUAGUCAGCAUGGUGGUUCACCAGCUUUUGCACCCUCAAACUUUCAUAGUAGUCAAUAUAAUGGCUCACUAGCUGUU